GAUUGGACAUGUCUAAAACUCAACAGCAACCUUGCAGGGAAAGGGAAACAAAUACUCCCCAUAUUCAUUUGUCCUUCACUGAAUUCAGUCACAGUGCUGUUUUCUUUGCUUCUUCUCCAUGCACUGUUCUCUAUAGUAUGUGCAAUCACUUGCCUGCCAUUGCCCUGCAAAAUCACUACUACUUUAAUUACCAUCACUUUCUUAAC
rnacentral:lncRNA from 1 species